rnacentral:rRNA from 1 species
UUAAGCGACUAAGCGUACACGGUGGAUGCCCUGGCAGUCAGAGGCGAUGAAGGACGUGCUAAUCUGCGAUAAGCGUCGGUAAGGUGAUAUGAACCGUUAUAACCGGCGAUUUCCGAAUGGGGAAACCCAGUGUGUUUCGACACACUAUCAUUAACUGAAUCCAUAGGUUAAUGAGGCGAACCGGGGGAACUGAAACAUCUAAGUACCCCGAGGAAAAGAAAUCAACCGAGAUUCCCCCAGUAGCGGCGAGCGAACGGGGAGCAGCCCAGAGCCUGAAUCAGUAUGUGUGUUAGUGGAAGCGUCUGGAAAGGCGCGCGAUACAGGGUGACAGCCCCGUACACAAAAAUGCACAUGCUGUGAGCUCGAUGAGUAGGGCGGGACACGUGGUAUCCUGUCUGAAUAUGGGGGGACCAUCCUCCAAGGCUAAAUACUCCUGACUGACCGAUAGUGAACCAGUACCGUGAGGGAAAGGCGAAAAGAACCCCGGCGAGGGGAGUGAAAAAGAACCUGAAACCGUGUACGUACAAGCAGUGGGAGCACGCUUAGGCGUGUGACUGCGUACCUUUUGUAUAAUGGGUCAGCGACUUAUAUUCUGUAGCAAGGUUAACCGAAUAGGGGAGCCGAAGGGAAACCGAGUCUUAACUGGGCGUUAAGUUGCAGGGUAUAGACCCGAAACCCGGUGAUCUAGCCAUGGGCAGGUUGAAGGUUGGGUAACACUAACUGGAGGACCGAACCGACUAAUGUUGAAAAAUUAGCGGAUGACUUGUGGCUGGGGGUGAAAGGCCAAUCAAACCGGGAGAUAGCUGGUUCUCCCCGAAAGCUAUUUAGGUAGCGCCUCGUGAAUUCAUCUCCGGGGGUAGAGCACUGUUUCGGCAAGGGGGUCAUCCCGACUUACCAACCCGAUGCAAACUGCGAAUACCGGAGAAUGUUAUCACGGGAGACACACGGCGGGUGCUAACGUCCGUCGUGAAGAGGGAAACAACCCAGACCGCCAGCUAAGGUCCCAAAGUCAUGGUUAAGUGGGAAACGAUGUGGGAAGGCCCAGACAGCCAGGAUGUUGGCUUAGAAGCAGCCAUCAUUUAAAGAAAGCGUAAUAGCUCACUGGUCGAGUCGGCCUGCGCGGAAGAUGUAACGGGGCUAAACCAUGCACCGAAGCUGCGGCAGCGACGCUGAUGCGUUGUUGGGUAGGGGAGCGUUCUGUAAGCCUGCGAAGGUGUGCUGUGAGGCAUGCUGGAGGUAUCAGAAGUGCGAAUGCUGACAUAAGUAACGAUAAAGCGGGUGAAAAGCCCGCUCGCUGGAAGACCAAGGGUUCCUGUCCAACGUUAAUCGGGGCAGGGUGAGUCGACCCCUAAGGCGAGGCCGAAAGGCGUAGUCGAUGGGAAACAGGUUAAUAUUCCUGUACUUGGUGUUACUGCGAAGGGGGGACGGAGAAGGCUAUGUUGGCCGGGCGACGGUUGUCCCGGUUUAAGCGUGUAGGCUGGUUUUCCAGGCAAAUCCGGAAAAUCAAGGCUGAGGCGUGAUGACGAGGCACUACGGUGCUGAAGCAACAAAUGCCCUGCUUCCAGGAAAAGCCUCUAAGCAUCAGGUAACAUCAAAUCGUACCCCAAACCGACACAGGUGGUCAGGUAGAGAAUACCAAGGCGCUUGAGAGAACUCGGGUGAAGGAACUAGGCAAAAUGGUGCCGUAACUUCGGGAGAAGGCACGCUGAUAUGUAGGUGAGGUCCCUCGCGGAUGGAGCUGAAAUCAGUCGAAGAUACCAGCUGGCUGCAACUGUUUAUUAAAAACACAGCACUGUGCAAACACGAAAGUGGACGUAUACGGUGUGACGCCUGCCCGGUGCCGGAAGGUUAAUUGAUGGGGUUAGCGCAAGCGAAAGCUCUUGAUCGAAGCCCCGGUAAACGGCGGCCGUAACUAUAACGGUCCUAAGGUAGCGAAAUUCCUUGUCGGGUAAGUUCCGACCUGCACGAAUGGCGUAAUGAUGGCCAGGCUGUCUCCACCCGAGACUCAGUGAAAUUGAACUCGCUGUGAAGAUGCAGUGUACCCGCGGCAAGACGGAAAGACCCCGUGAACCUUUACUAUAGCUUGACACUGAACAUUGAGCCUUGAUGUGUAGGAUAGGUGGGAGGCUUUGAAGUGUGGACGCCAGUCUGCAUGGAGCCGACCUUGAAAUACCACCCUUUAAUGUUUGAUGUUCUAACGUUGACCCGUAAUCCGGGUUGCGGACAGUGUCUGGUGGGUAGUUUGACUGGGGCGGUCUCCUCCUAAAGAGUAACGGAGGAGCACGAAGGUUGGCUAAUCCUGGUCGGACAUCAGGAGGUUAGUGCAAUGGCAUAAGCCAGCUUGACUGCGAGCGUGACGGCGCGAGCAGGUGCGAAAGCAGGUCAUAGUGAUCCGGUGGUUCUGAAUGGAAGGGCCAUCGCUCAACGGAUAAAAGGUACUCCGGGGAUAACAGGCUGAUACCGCCCAAGAGUUCAUAUCGACGGCGGUGUUUGGCACCUCGAUGUCGGCUCAUCACAUCCUGGGGCUGAAGUAGGUCCCAAGGGUAUGGCUGUUCGCCAUUUAAAGUGGUACGCGAGCUGGGUUUAGAACGUCGUGAGACAGUUCGGUCCCUAUCUGCCGUGGGCGCUGGAGAACUGAGGGGGGCUGCUCCUAGUACGAGAGGACCGGAGUGGACGCAUCACUGGUGUUCGGGUUGUCAUGCCAAUGGCACUGCCCGGUAGCUAAAUGCGGAAGAGAUAAGUGCUGAAAGCAUCUAAGCACGAAACUUGCCCCGAGAUGAGUUCUCCCUGACUCCUUGAGAGUCCUGAAGGAACGUUGAAGACGACGACGUUGAUAGGCCGGGUGUGUAAGCGCAGCGAUGCGUUGAGCUAACCGGUACUAAUGAACCGUGAGGCUUAACCUU